CUUGAACAUAAACUUAUUUUAAUCCAUGCUCAUAUGUGGUAUUUGUAUUGAGAUACAUUGAGAUAACAGUUAUAAAUGUCCACUAUGAAAUUCCUCUUGCUUAUUACAGUCAUACUUGUAGUAGGCUUUGGGCCAAAUGAAGUUGACAGUAGACAUAGCUUUACGUCUGCUGAUGGAGGUACAGGAGGAUCUGCACUAACAGAUUAUAAGUGUUCCUGCUGUUCAGAUAGAGUACAUCGUUUGAGAUGCUGUGUUCCGACAUGUAGAAUUGAGCCUCAUUAUAAGAAGGAAACUCGUUGAAGGAAAACAUCUUCGUAUUAUAUAUCACAACUUUUUAAUAACUGAAUACAAUUGAAGAACGAUUAACAUUUUUUUCUUCUUCUUUAUAUAUUGUAAAGUGACUCUUGGGUGAUAAUAGUAUAAUCCAUAAUCUUGAUGUAAUUCUACUUCAAAAUCUGUGAAAAAUCUGCUGUAAUUUCAAAACGCGGAACAAAUCCGAAAAUAAAAUUACGUCUGUCAAAAUGA